GCUCGAGGGUUUGCUCGUCCAACCACAUUAGCGACAACACCAAGGUCCUCAUGCACAUCAACCGAGACUUCCGGGUGGGCAAGAAGGUCCCGUGUCGCCUCCUCAAGUACAACCACAUGGACCAACUCUUCAUUGUCACACUGCAGAAGUCUGUCUUCGAGCGGCAGUUCAUUGCCUACAGUGAGCUGCAGCCCGGGCAGGUUGUGCAGGCCACCGUCAACAGCUACGACAGCAACGGCGCACGGCUGGCGGUGAGCAAGCUGAUGAGCGGCCACGUGCCCUCACUGCACCUCACGGACGGCCCCAUGAAGCACCCCGAGCGAAAGCACAUCAUGGGGGACCAGGUCACCGCCAGAGUGCUCAAGGUCAACUCCAAGAGACAGCACCUUCUCCUGACCCUCAAGUCCCAGCUGGUUACAGCCAAGGAGCCCAUUCUUACCGAGUACUCGCAAGAGGCGGAGAACACACUCACCAUCAGCUACGUCAUCAAGGUGCUGCCGCAGGGCCUCCUCGUGAAACGACGUGAAAAUGACAUGAAAGGCUUCGUCCCCAGGUCGCAGGUCGGCAUUGAGUCGGGCAUGAGUCUAGCCUCGGCAUUCCACGAGGGACGAGUCGUUCGCUGCAGGGUCCUCAAGGUGUCCCCCGAGAAGCAGAACAUCACCCUCAGUCUCCUGGUUGACGAGGACGUUCAGCCAUUGAGUAGGGCGCCCAAGUCAGCGAGGAAGGUUGAGGUGCGAGCAAGAGUCAGGUGUGUGGUGGACGAGGUGAGGACGCACGCUAUCACAGUCACUGUCCUGCCCCACAACGUCGAGGCUUCCAUACCUGUCCACCACCUCUCGGAUGACCCGAGCAAGUGCCAGCUGCUGAGGGAGGUGCUGAAGGAAGGGGACGAGAUCAUGAAUGCCGUGGUGUUCAGCAAGGUGCCCGGCUCACCCGUCACCCUCACUCUCAAAAAUUGAGAAGGAUGCCUCUCAGGAUAAGGCCAAAGAGGGGGUGGAGCAAGGGGCCGACAGCUCUCCCAGCGAGGACAGCCGCGAGGAGAUGAAGGCCAGUGAGGGUGAUGAGGUGGAAGGUGAGGUGAGCAGUGCCAAGCCUUGCCUCACACUGGGAACAGGCUUUGUGUGGGAAGUUCCCGACACGCCGGAGUUCAUGGACUCCUCAGACGGUGAGGACCAAGACGUGCCAAAGAAGAAAGAGAGGAGAAUGCGGAAGUCAGAAAUAAUAGCCCAGUCCAAGGAGGAGGAGCAACAGUUCUCGCGGCUGGAGGAGGGGCGGGCGCUCGCCACAGUCAGCCAUGGACUUUGAGGCCAUGCUCCAGGGUAGUCCAAACUCAUCAGCCGUGUGGAUACAGUUCAUCAGUUUCCACCUUGAGAGUGCCGAGGUGGACAAGGCCAAGGCAGUGGCACGGCGAGCCUGCAGGUGAUGGACGCACAGGAGGAGGAGGAGCGCCUCAACGUGUGGACAGUGCUGCUGAGGCUGGAGGUGCUCUACGGCGGACCAGAGUCUGUGGCCGAGGCGUACCGGGAGGCACUGGCCACUAACGACCAGCUCAAGGUCCACCUGGCCAUGGCCAUGGUAUAUGCUGAGAGCGAGAAUCCCUGGUAACAUACACUCCCAGGUCUUUCUCUGCCUCUGUGGUGGAUAGUGGAGUGUUUCCCAUGUGGUAUUGGUGUGCUGGAUAUCCCUUCACUGGUAGCCUGGUAACAUACACUCCCAGGUCUUUCUCUGCCUCUGUGGUGGAUAGUGGAGUGUUUCCCAUGUGGUAUUGGUGUGCUGGAUAUCCCUUCACUGGUAGCCUGGUAACAUACACUCCCAGGUCUUUCUCUGCCUCUGUGGUGGAUAGUGGAGUGUUUCCCAUGUGGUAUUGGUGUGCUGGAUAUCCCUUCACUGGUAGCCUGGUAACAUACACUCCCAGGUCUUUCUCUGCCUCUGUGGUGGAUAGUGGAGUGUUUCCCAUGUGGUAUUGGUGUGCUGGAUAUCCCUUCACUGGUAGCCUGGUAACAUACACUCCCAGGUCUUUCUCUGCCUCUGUGGUGGAUAGUGGAGUGUUUCCCAUGUGGUAUUGGUGUGCUGGAUAUCCCCUCCCAAGGUGCAUGACUUUACAUUUUUCUUCAUUGAAUUGUGGCUGCCACUUUUUGUUCCAUUCCUGUAGCUUGGUGAUGUUGUAGGAAAUCUGCAGUCAAGAGGUUAACUCUAUCUUAUGUCCUUAGCAGUAGCCUUCAAUAAGCUUCUGGUGCUAAUGGCGUUGUUUCCCUCCAGGAGGCCGAGAGGGUGUACUUCAACAUGUCCAAGAAGUUCAGUCAGGAGCUGAGUGUGUGGGUGAAGGCGGGAAUCUUCUUCUUCAGUCACAACAUGGCUGGGGAGGGACGUCGCUUCUUUGAGCGGGCGCUGCGCUCUCUCGACAAGAAGGACCAUGUGGAGCUCAUCAACCGGUUUGGCCAGCUUGAGUUUCGCUUUGGGGAGACCGAGUGCGGUCGGACCAUGUUUGAGUCCCUCCUCAGCACCUACUGGAAGAGGCUGGACAUCUGGAGUGUCUGACAGGUGGACCUGCUCACCAAGGCCAAGGACACUGAGGGGGCAAGGUGAGGCUGGUGUGAUGUAACCGUGGGUGUCAUUCUUGCUCUAUAGAUUCUGCUGAGGCCAAGGCUAAAGGGACAACUUUUACAUGGAGGCUUUUUGUCAAGGGGCUAUGUUAUUCCUCAGUCAAAAGUUUUAUGGGGACGAUCAACUUGGACAAGAAUACAGUGGGGUAGUCACAAUAACAUGGUCUUGUUGGGCAUCAUUUUUGCUCUAUAGAUUCUGCUGAGGCCAAGGCUAGAGGGACAACUUUUACAUGGAGGCUGUUUGUCAAGGGGCUAUGUUAUUCCUCAGUCAAAAGUUGUAUGGGGACGAUCAACAAGAAUAUAGUGGGGUAAUGACAUGGUCUUGUUGGGCAUCAUUUUUGCUUUAUAGACUUGAGGGCAUAGCUGGGCAUGAUAACAGAAAACCUUAUUCCCGAUAACCGUUAACUGAUAAUGAAAAACCUUAAUGGCGAUAACUGAUAUUCGUUAACUAGAGACACAAAUAUAGGCGAUAACCGAUAACCGAUACCCGAUAUAAAUCCACAAUUCCGAUACUAGCUAGCGAUAAGUCCGAUAGAUUGAUUGAUUGAUUGAUAGUUUAUUGUUGCAGGUAAACAACAAGGGAGAAGGGAGGAACAUGCCAUCCCAACCCCCAGGCAGGACAGAGUGUGAUUAUACAACUAUUAAUACAUGUGGAGGUAGCACCAUGAAACUAAAAAGAUACAAUGGUAGGAAGGAAAGCACAACAAGGGAGGGGGCGGUACCUCCCCCUGGACAAUAAGACAAUAAAAUGUGGGGACGGAGAACAUUGCCCAAGCACUAGAUGGGAAUGAAUACAGAGAUAGAGUAAAUACUAGUCCUUAAAGUAAAAUGGCGAAAACGAUAUUAUAUUGAUAUUUCAGAUAGAACAACAUUGAUGAAUUCAAAUUUUCAUUAUCUGUAUUUUAGGAAACUUACAAAACCUUAAAACCACACGUUGACACGUACAUAUGGACGUUAAUACUAGAAAUGCCUGAACCGGUGUCGUGUUAUUUGGCGUCCCCACCGUCAAAAAUUGUUUACAAACACUGGUCUCUCGUGAACGGUGCAUGCUCAGACCAGCAAGCAUAGACCUGUACAGUCUCACAAAGCUUUUAAACCGUAAGUAAGGGUUGUUGGAAGGCUGAAUCAGACAUAUAGUACAACUACCACCAUCCUCGCUGUUUCUAGGACGACACUCUGUACGAGUUGUAUUUAUAUGUACAAAGUGUACGUCGUUCUAGAAACAGCAAGGAUGGUGGUACUGUAUGUUUGAUUCAGCUUUCCAGCAACUCUUAAUGUGUUAAAAAAGCAUUGUGAGACUGUACAGGGCUACACUUAAUGGUUUGAGCAUGCGCAGUUCACGAGAGACCAGUGUUUGUACACAAAAGCGCCAGCUUUUGACGAUGGGACACCAAAUAACACAACACCGGGUGCCUUCAAUACCAUGACAUGCUCACCAACGAAUAUGGAAUAUCAAAUUUGAGGCAGUGAAUAAUCAUUUUUGGGGCAAAGUUAAAUGAUUUUGCUCAAUGAUGUAUUGAUUUUUGAGUAGCAUAAAAAAUAAUAACCUAGUGUUUUAAUUUUCAUGACCUAAGCAUGAAAUCUCAUCACCGAAGCUAUUUCAUACCCCGAAGUUUUUUCAUACAACACCGGGCCACGCAUGCGCAGUAAGGAGACAAAAAAAAUUUCCUGAGAGGCGGAAAAAAAGUAGCGAUUAUCGCUAGUUUGGUUACAAAAGUAACGAAGAUACCGAUAUAUAUUUAAAUAAGUAGCGGAUGGUCGAUAAUCCGAUUUUGUUAUCAGCGAUAAAGUAUCGCGAUAACUUAUCGCGAUAACGCCCAGCUAUGCUUGAGGGACUGUACAUAUGGACUACAAUCUAGAGGCAAAUGCAGGAUACUCACUAAGCACAGCUGAAAGAACAUUAUAUUUGUAAUGGAUACUGCUUGUGUUGUUUUAUUUUUACAGGUUGUGCCGAUGCGAAGGCCUGACUCUCCAACGGGUCACCUGUACAGCAAGAGCAAGAGAGAGGCCAAAACAAACCCCGCCAUUUAAUUUAUUUCUUGUUUUUUCAUUUUUUUCACGUGUUGUAUGAAUGGUGGAUGAAACAUGUGGAGGCUGUGGAA